rnacentral:rRNA from 1 species
CGGAGGGUGCGAGCGUUGUCCGGAAUCACUGGGCGUAAAGGGCGCGUAGGCGGCCUGAUAAGUAGGGGGUGAAAUCCUGAGGCUUAACCUCAGGGCUGCCUUCUAAACUGUCAGGCUCGAGCACAGUAGAGGCAGGUGGAAUUCCCGGUGUAGCGGUGGGAUGCGUAGAGAUCGGGAAGAACAUCAGUGGCGAAGGCGGCCUGCUGGGCUGUUGCUGACGCUGAGGCGCGACAGCGUGGGGAGCAAACAGGAUUAGAUACCCUGGUAGUCCACGCCGUAAACGAUGGGCACUAGGCGUCGGGGGGAGCGACCCUCCCGGUGCCGUCGCUAACGCAGUAAGUGCCCCGCCUGGGGAGUACGGCCGCAAGGCUG